UAUUCCUGUGGAUGGGGUCACACAAGGGGUUAACCCAGGGAGCUGGGCUUUGAUCGCCAGCUAGGGACUGGGCUGGCUCCCCUGGGCUUGCUCCCUAAGAAAGGCCUCCCGCUGGGCCCUAGAAGCAAGGGUGGUUGAGGACCAGGCUUGGAGCCUUCCGAUUCCCCAAUUCCCCCAAUUGCCCCUCUAUCCCUCAAGGAAUCCCUAAAUGCCAACACCAACUCUGUGACGUGUCAUCUUAAAAAUCUGGAGCAGCAAAGCUAGGCCUCACUCAUCCCAUCUUAUAUCUGGAGAGGAGCACUUUCUGUGUCAGCUGUACCACAACAGGUGUUAGAAGGAUCAGAUUGAAGUACUGUAAGGAUUCAGGGAUCCCCAGAAGAUCUCUGUGUUGCCCUUCAAAGCAAAUGCUGAAGAAAGAGAGGCUGAGGAUGGGAUUCAGAAGGACAAGAAGAAGAAAGAAAAGUUAAACAAAAGGAAAAGAAAAAAGAAGCUGCCACCACGACAAAAGCUUGGCUGUAUGCUCCUGCUAUUUGUCCCCUCAAAGCCACCUUGACCUACAGGACAGCUGCUUGAACCUGCCCUCGAUCCAGGAGCCCCGCUCACCAAGUGAGAAGUGGCUGCAGUGCUAUUCCAGAAUUCAGCAGGCCCAGGCUAGAAGGAUGGACACUUAGAGCCUGGUGGGCAGGGUUCACCUGUGACCCCAGCGCUCACGUGGGGGAUGGGUAAGAGGACAAGUCUGAGCUACCGAGGAGUCAGGCCAGUGUAUGCCACACAGGGAGAUCCUGUCUCAAAAAUCAAGUAGACUUGGGGUGAGAGCAGUGGCUCAGCAGUUAAAGGCACCCUACUGUUCUUUUAGCAGACCCAGGUUCGGUUCCCGGCACCACAUGGCAGCUCAAAGCCAGCUCUAACUCCAGUUUCAGGGGAUUUGACUUCCUCCUGAUAGCUAGGGGCACUAGGCACACCCAUGGUGCUACACAAACAUACAUACACGCACAUACACAAAAACGUACAUACAUAUUAUAUACAUACAUGCAUACAUACAUACAUGUAGCUGAAACACUCAGACAUAAAAAUAAUUUUUGUUUUUGCUUUUCAAGAUAAGGUUUCUCUGUGUAACAGAGGCCUGGCCGUCCUGGACUUGCCUCAUAGAUCAGGCUGGCCAUGAACUCACAGAGAUCCAUCUGCCUCUCUCUCCCGAGUGCUGGGAUUAAAGGUGUGUGCCACCUUGCCUCGCUAAAAUAAAUACUUUUUGAAAGUAAUAAAACAAGAUAUGGUGGCACACACCUGCAAAUCCCAGCGCUGGGGAGAUUGAGGCAAGCAGAUUACUGUGAUUUCCAGGCCAGCCAGGGCUACCUGGUCUGACCCUUAAAAACAACUCAGGAGGCAGAGGCCAUUGGAUCUCUGAGUUCAAGGCCAGCUUGGUUUAUAGAGUUCCCGGAUAGCCAGGGCUACACAGAGAAACCCUGUCUCAAAAAAAACAAAACAAACGAACGAACAAAAAAAUACAAUGCAUUAUAACGGUACAUACUGGAAUCCUGGCACUUGGGAGGGGGAGGCAGGAAGAUCAGGGGAGUCAAGGGCAUUCUCAACUACAUAGUGACUUCAGGUCAACCCUGUCUUGAUAAAUAAAAGAACAAAUGAAUAUUUAAGUGGUCUCCUUAGCCUGCUCUCUGCACCUGGAAAGCACAUUUUGCAACAACCUGUAUCAAAACAUCUCCUCUGCAUUUUCCGUGCAUCAUAUAUGAUAGCCCUACUAGGCUGGAAGCCCCCCUUUCUCUCACCCUUUCCCUCUGAGAGACAAGAGUUAUUCUGUCACCUAGGCUGGCCUCUCACUCUCAGCAGCCCUCCUCACCGGCCUCCCAAGGGCUAGCACUGUACUUACUGUUUUAAUUUUCUAUUUCCACAGCCUCAGACGGCCCGUGAGGGCUCCUCACCAAUCACCAUGGUGAUGAAGCCCACUAGUGGCUGAGCCUGCCAGAAGCCAAGGCCGCGUUCCCUUCCCUGCGCCACCCGAGGGCCCAGCGAGCUACCAGAGUGGAAGGCGAAGAGGAACAGCCCAAGACGAAGCUCCUUGGAGCCCUGAGGCAAGUGGGCCCGGCUUUGCCCAUCUGUGUUUCGAGAAUGAAUUGGUAAUGCCUCGGCCAUGCACAAGGCCGACCUCCUUCCCUCCUGCACAUCUUUGGUCAGGUGAUGUUUUCCUCAAACCAGUUUGAAAUUGUCAUUUGUGCUGGGCUCAGGGGUUCAGACCCAUGGUCCCAGCUACCUAGGAGCCCAAAGCUGCAGAGUCACAAAUCUACAGCCUUCCUGGGCUACCACUAAGUGAGUUCAAGCCCCCAAAUUCAAAGUAAGUCGGGUGGGGGUGUGGAGAGAUGGCUCAGUGGUUAAGAGCACUAGUUGCCCCUCUGAAGGUCUCAGGUUCAAUUCCCAGCAACCACAUGGCAGCUUACAACUGUCUAGAACUCCAGUUCCAUGGAUCUGACCCCUUCAUACCAAUGCAGAGGAUAAAAUUUAAAAAGCAAAUAAUAAGGGGGCUGGAGAGCUGGCUCAGUGGUUAAGAGCAUUGACUGCUCUUCCUAGAGGACCAGGUUCAAUUCCCAGCACCCACAUGACAGCUCACAACUGUCUGUAACUCCAAGAUCAUCCAUGCAGGCAAAACACCAAUGCACAUAAAAUAAAAAUAAAUAAAUUAUUUUAUAAAUAAAUAAAUAAAAGUAAGUCGGGACUGGAAAGAUGGCUUAGGGGCUCAGAACACUGACUGCUCAGAGGUACUGAGUUCCAUUCUUGGAAACUGCAUGGUGGCUCACAGUCCAUCUAUAAUAGAAUCCAAUGCUGGGCACACAUACAAGGCGCUCAUACAUAAAACACAUAAACAAAGAAACAUUUUUAAAUCAUUUGUUUGUUUGUUUUGGGACAGGGUUUCUCUGUAUAGCCUUGACUGUUCUGAACUCACUGUGUAGACCAGACUGGUCUCAAACUCAGAGAUCUGCCUGCCUCUGCCUCCCCAAGGGCAGUGAUUACAGGUGUGUGCCACUGCGCCCAGCUCUUUAAAAACCUUAUGAAAAAUAAGAAGUUGUAAUAGAGCUGAGGAUAUGGCUCAGUGGAUGAGUGCUUGACUAGCAUGCAUAAGGCCCUAGGUUCAACCCCUUGUGCCAUACACACACGCCACAGACAGUCACCUGUGCCUUUCACAAUGGUCUUUCUCCAUCUAUUUUUCAAAAGCAUUUUCUCCUCUUUGAGUUCUGCUUUAGACAGGGUCCCUCUGUAGGCCAAGCUGACCUGUAACUCCCUGUGAAGCCCAGGCUGGCCUUGAACCUCAGCGAUCAGGUGCUAGCCUCCAGCACGUGGGGAUUACAGUUGUGAGCCUCCAUGCCUGGCUUGCAUUUACUUAUUAUGCUCACUGUUAACUUAAACUAGAAUGGACUUUCCAUUAAAAUCGAGAUUUUGGACUUUUCUCCUUGUCGUAUUUCCAGCCUGAAGAACUGGGUUCAGUUCCCAGCACCCACCACAUCAGGCAGAUCAUGGGAAACUAACACUUUUUUUUUUUUCG